rnacentral:rRNA from 1 species
UAGGGAAUCUUGGACAAUGGGCGAAAGCCUGAUCCAGCCAUGCCGCGUGAGUGAAGAAGGCCUUAGGGUUGUAAAGCUCUUUUAGCGGGGAAGAUAAUGACGGUACCCGCAGAAUAAGCCCCGGCUAACUUCGUGCCAGCAGCCGCGGUAAUACGAAGGGGGCUAGCGUUGUUCGGAAGUACUGGGCGUAAAGCGCACGCAGGCGGAUUGAUAAGUCAGGGGUGAAAUCCCGGGGCUCAACCUCGGAAUUGCCUUUGAUACUGCCAGUCUUGAGUCCGGGAGAGGUGAGUGGAAUUCCUAGUGUAGAGGUGAAAUUCGUAGAUAUUAGGAAGAACACCAGUGGCGAAGGCGGCUCACUGGCCCGGUACUGACGCUCAGGUGCGAAAGCGUGGGGAGCAAACAGGAUUAGAUACCCUGGUAGUCCACGCCGUAAACGAUGGAUGCUAGCCGUUGGGGAGCUUGCUCUUCAGUGGCGCAGCUAACGUCUUAAGCAUCCCGCCUGGGGAGUACGGUCGCAAGAUUA